CGCGUAGGCGGACAGUUUAGUCAGAGGUUAAAGCCCAGGGCUCAACCUUGGAAUCGCCUUUGAUACUGGCUGUCUUGAGUACGGGAGAGGUGUGUGGAACUCCGAGUGUAGAGGUGAAAUUCGUAGAUAUUCGGAAGAACACCAGUGGCGAAGGCGACACACUGGCCCGUUACUGACGCUGAGGCGCGAAAGCGUGGGGAGCAAACA
rnacentral:rRNA from 1 species